rnacentral:pre_miRNA from 1 species
AAAAAAACAAACCCUAGGUUUUCGUGUUUAACGUUUGACUGUCCGUCUUAUAUGGAAUUUUUUAUAAUUAGUAUUUUUAUUGUUGUUAGAUGAUAAAACAUAAUUAAUACUUUAUGCGUGACUUGCCUUUUUAAAUUUUUUUUCAUAACUUUUUUAAAUAAGACGAACGGUCAAACGUUGGACAUGAAAACUCAGGGUU